AUGCCCGGGAUGCGCGCUGUGUUCUUGUGCUGGAUCCUGAUUGAGGUGGCUGUGGCAGCAGGGCAGACCUCCUGUAACCCAGGCGGAUAUGAGGUUCCAGGCGACCUUUCCUGUAGCAGAUUCUGCCCGGCUGGUGAGUCUGGGGUGAUUUCCAGAGCUUUCCAGGAAGACUUCUGCUUGGGAGAGGGAGGUUGGGGACACGUUGAGCUGAGCUGGGGCAGCCUGCGGGAAGAACCUGCCUGUCUGGGAUGGGGAGAGUCUGUCCUUGGCAGCCACCAGAACCCUGAACCCCGUCCAGACACACAGACACACGCCCAUGUGAUCAGUGAAGUCCCUCCCCAGCCCCUCUGUGAGGGGCAGCUGGCCCGUCACCACGGGCAUCCCGCUAACCCCACACACACCUGCACAUGCCGUGCCUUCCAGGGGCCCGUGGUUCAGAGCCCAAGCACCUGGUACCUGGACCCGUAGCCCCAUACCCUCCCCACUCCCCAGCCCACCCACCUGUGCACACACUAUAGGCGUUCAUAUGCACAUCUCUGCAUUCACACACUCCUGCAGGAACCACGUGUGGGAGCAAAGUGAAGUCUUGUGACCUUGCUCCAGCGCCCACGCAUUGCAGGGCAUCGGUACAAGCUGGGGGUGAUGUGGGUCCCUGGUCUCUGGGACGGACACCUGUGGCCUGGGAUCAGUCCAGCUGUUCCCAGGAGGCCGGGUGGGUUGGGGGUACUGUGCGGGGUCUGGUCUCCAGGUGACUCGGGACCUCCUCCAGCCAAGGCCUCAGAGACUGGGCGGGGUCCCCACCUGCCCUCCGUGUCCGUCUCACGCAGGCUACUCGUAAGCAGACCCAUAAACCAGGACCGCCACAUCGGAGCCUGCUCGCAGUGCGAGUCUGGAACUUUCAGAGCUCAUCCCAGGCAGACACAAUGCACGCCGUGUGCCCAGUGCAGAGAGGGUGAGUGGUGGCAGUCCCGCUCACGUGCCCGUUGGCCCGGCCCAUGGGAACCUCCCAAGGGCAGUGAACGGUCCCAGAGGGGCCUUGGCGGGGCCGUCGUCAGGGAGCUUGUUGGUCACGAUGCGGUGUGUGUUGCCUGAAGAAGCAGCUGCAAGUCAUUAGGGUUUCAGACUUGCUGAGUAUCAGUAUGGUACACAGAAGUUCUUCUAUCUCUGUGUAUCGAUGACAUUGUUUAAAUAGGUAAUUUUCCAAUUUAUUUAUCUUUAAUUGGAGUGUAAUUGCUUCGUAACGUUGCAUUGGUUUCUGCUGCACAAAAUGUAAAUCAGCUAAGUGUAUGUUUAUAUCCCUUCCUCUUCAGCCUCCCGCCCGACCCUUGAAAUGUAAUUUAAAAAUACCCACUUGCGUUGGCAAAAAAAGAUUUUGGAAUAAAUCUAGCAAAGCAUGUAUAAAUAUAUAUGUGAAAAACUACCUUUAAUGAAAUAUAAAUACAGAGAGAAAUACCACAAUAUAGGAAACCAGAAGGCUCAGCGUUUUGCUUUCUUGUGCUGUGGCCGUGGUGUGUGGCUUGCAACAUCUUAGUUCCCGACCAGGAGUUGAACUUGGGCCCUGGAAGUGAAAGCUUCCUAACCACUGGACCAGCAGGAACUCAUUUGGUGUUGUGUAAGGAUCAGUUUUUCCUGGAAUGGUGCUUAGAUUUUGUGCAUUCCCAAUGAAAAUUUCAGUGUAUCAGUGUAUAAAUCAAUUCAUCUUGCCAUAGACUUUAAACUGAUACGGUUUUAUUUUUAAGAGGUAAAAAUAAGAGACUUCCUGGCGGUCCAGUGGUUAACAAUCACCUGCUGAUGCAGGGCACGCAGGUUCAUCCCUGCUUUUCGAAGAUCACACAUGCCACCGAGCGGCGACUCCCGUGGGCCACAACCACUGUGCCCACGCACCCUAGGGCCCGUGCCCUGCAGGAAGAGAAGUCACCAGGUGAGAAGCCACAACAGAGAGUAGCACCCGCUCGCCACAACUAGGGAGUGUGCACACAGCAGGCAGAGCCGCACGGCCAGAAACAAAUGCAUUAGAAAAAAAAGGUAAACACAUCCCAGCAGGUCGUCAUGAACUUGCUGUCCUGACGCCUGCUGGAACAGCUUCCUUCUUGGAAGAUGAAAAACGAGAUAGCACCCUAGCUGCCCUCGUCUUUGACUCAGCAGAGACAGUGAGGCGGAGUGACAUUCACGUGGGGGCAGAGUUGGCCCGUGGAAACAGCUGCAUAGACGUGAGGUGUGGGUGCAGCCCCAGGACCCAGCCCUUCGCGGGUGGAAGGGCGGAACCCUCCAGCGAUGCUCGGAGAGACCGUGUUCCGUCCACACCGAGUAGGGCUGUUGUGACCUUCCUGGGGAUACGGUGGACACGUUGAUUUGGGGUGUGUCUGAGCAGGUGGCCCUCUGCCUCCAGCCCAGAUUGCCGGGCACCCACAGCUCCUCCGCAGACACCCAGGCGGCGGGGUGAGGUCUGGAGGUGGGCGCCGCGUGCUGAGCCUUUGACUGAGCCUGGGCGUGGCCGGGGCAGGACAGAGUCCAGGCCCCGGUGACUGACCCUCGGCCCGCCUCCAGCAGAUCAGGAAGUGGUGAGCGCUGCUCCGCCACCAGCGACCAGGAGUGCCAGUGCCAGCGGGCAAGUUCUACUGCGACUCCGUGGACUGCAGAGAGCUGCUUCCGGUGUACAAGGUGCCACCUAGCGGUGGGAGCCGGCCAACAGGCCCGGCGGGGUUCUCUUCUCCAUUCACCUGUUUGGUUUGGUCACUUGCUCAGCCACCCCUGGCCGGAGCCUCUGUUUUCCCAUCUGUGUAAUGGGGCUAAUGGUAACACCAGCCCCAGUGAGGAGCCCUGAGGAUUAAGGCAGGCGAGUCACCCGGAAGUUUCCGUGUGGGGUGAACUGGAGUCAUUGCUCAUCCAUUUCUUCCUCCUCUCAUUCACUCAUUCAUGCGUGACUGUGAGCCCUGCUGUGGUCUGCGGGGUCGUGUUGCAGGCCUGGGCCCCAGCAGUGGUGGAGAGCCCCAACAUGUAUGCAGUGAUGGGCUCACGAGGGACAGAGGCUGCAGGAGACAGGGCCCUAGGCGGAGGCAGGGAGGCGGGGCGCAGGGUGGAGCCAUGGGGCGUCCAGGGGAGGCGCUGUAGGCAGGGGCGCCCCAGGCUCCGGGCCGGGUGGGAUGGCCAGUGCGUGUUUUCUGCCCUGAUGUUACAAAUCACCUCGACCGGGAGGCUUUUGAAAACAAGAAGAAUGUAUUCUUUCACAGUUCUGGAGACCGGAAGUCGGAAAUCGAGGUGUCAGCAGGGCCAGGCUCCUCCAUAGGCUCUCGGGAGGAAUCUCUCGCUUCCUCAGCUUUGCCGGCACUCCUUGGCGCUCCUCGGCUUGUGGACGCAUCCCUUCCGUCUCUGCUUCCGCCUUCCAGGGAUGUUCUCCCGUGUGCUCUGCCUCAGCAUCUUCACAUGGCCUUCUCUCUGUCUGCGUACAUCUUCCCUCUUGUGAGGACGCUGCUCACUGACUGAGGCCCACCCUGAUCCGGUGUGACCUCCUCUUAAAGGAUUACAUCUGCAGAGACCCUGUUUCCACAUCAGGUUGCAUUCUGUGGUUUCCGGUGGGCUUAGAUUUGGGGCAGACUUUGAGAAGACACUCACAGUGGUAAAGCCACUUGUAAAAUCACCUGCCUUUGUAGAUUCUUAAAUACAACCCCGGCCAGCUUGCGCUGACACCCAGGCGGCGGGGUGAGGUCUGGAGGUGGGCGCCGCGUGCUGAGCCUUUGACUGAGCCUGGGCGUGGCCGGGGCAGGACAGAGUCCAGGCCCCGGUGACUGACCCUCGGCCCGCCUCCAGCAGAUCAGGAAGUGGUGAGCGCUGCUCCGCCACCAGCGACCAGGAGUGCCAGUGCCAGCGGGCAAGUUCUACUGCGACUCCGUGGACUGCAGAGAGCUGCUUCCGGUGUACAAGGUGCCACCUAGCGGUGGGAGCCGGCCAACAGGCCCGGGCGGGGUUCUCUUCUCCAUUCACCUGUUUGGUUUGGUCACUUGCUCAGCCACCCCUGGCCGGAGCCUCUGUUUUCCCAUCUGUGUAAUGGGGCUAAUGGUAACACCAGCCCCAGUGAGGAGCCCUGAGGAUUAAGGCAGGCGAGUCACCCGGAAGUUUCCGUGUGGGGGUGAACUGGAGUCAUUGCUCAUCCAUUUCUUCCUCCUCUCAUUCACUCAUUCAUGCGUGACUGUGAGCCCUGCUGUGGUCUGCGGGGUCGUGUGCAGGCCUGGGCCCCAGCAGUGGUGGAGAGCCCCAACAUGUAUGCAGUGAUGGGCUCACGAGGGACAGAG
rnacentral:lncRNA from 1 species